CUAAAGGACUGGCAACAGCAGGAUUUGUGGGAUCCUAUUACCCCUCCAACACCUGUCCCGAUUUUUCACACCUGCUAGCUAGUCAGCUUAGCUGAGGUUGCCUCUCUCCACCUGCUGCAUCAUCCCGUCCAAUCCCCAUGGGACUGCACUGCAGAGAGGUCUGUGGGACAAUCUGUGCUUCACAUGGCAAAGAACACGAAGCCCAGCUCCGGGAAAGCAGUCUCUUGGGCAGCCCCUACUGCCCCUUUCCCAUCCUGACGUCGUGCUGCGCAUCCCCCCCGGACAGCGCCACCUCCAGCACGAUGAGAGGAUGCGCGUGCUCGAGUGGUCCAUGAUCAGCACCUGGGGUAGCGAGAGGGGAGCGUGCCACUUCGGAUGAGCUAGUCAAUGCCCACCGUGGCACUGCCCAUCAUCCGUGGCACAGCCAAGGGAGCAGAGUGACUACUAACAGCAGAGCCGACGGCUCCCGGCCCAGCCCUUCCACAGCAGAGCAGCAGGGCCAUUACCAAGCCUGCACUUGGCUGAGCUGACCGUGCUAAGGACUGCGUGAGGAGUGACAAGGAGAGCAGCUCCGAGCAGAGUGGCUGGUAUGAGAUGUAGGAGACGGAGACAAAUUUGGGACACCCGGCCAUUCAGAAUGGUUCCAUCCUGCUAGACUGGAGGAGAUCAGCCUCUUCACCCAGGUGACAGGGUGAGUGCAAGAGGCAAGGACAGAACCCAGGCAUCCUAGCUCCCAGUGCCCUGCUCUGAUCCACCACAUACCCGGUCCCCAGCCCUCGGACAGAACCAGGAGCAGGGCACAGAGAAAUGGAACAAGGGGAAUCUCUGUGUUCCCCUAGGAAAGCCCUGUAGGCCAUCGGCCCAACAUCUCCACCGCCUUCCUGCCGUGCCAAAUGAACCCAUUGCUCUGUGCAGCCCAGCAUCCCGCUGCACCAGAUCCAGCCACUGGGAAAGCUAGUCCCCUUUGCUCCCUCUGCCGCACCAGCCUAGCCCACUGCUCCACACACCCCAGCCCAGUCCAUGCCGGGGGCUCAAUAACCUGCCUGCCCAAUGGUGCAUACUGCCCCCAUGCUUGGUGCUCUCCUGUUCCUCCUCCCACCCAGGCUGGCUCACUGGGCCCAGUGGUCUGAUCCGGUGUGUGUGGGGGGAGAUAUGGGGCUGGCUGGACAAGCUGGGUCUGAUCCAGCGCAGCGGGAAGGCAGACAUACCCAAGCCUAGCUGGGGAUGGAUGAUGGGCUAGACAGAGCAGGGAUCUGAUCCAGCCUGGAAAACCUCAGGUUCCUAAUGAAUUCCAAGAGGCUGGAGGGGGAGGAGCACAAUAUAUGGAUACAGCAUAUCCCCAGGGGGACACCAGGGCAGCAGGCCCGGCCCGCUUACCUUCAAUUCUCCUUCCUUCUUUACGCUGCGAAAGACAACGCUGAGGAUCUCUGUGAGGGAAAGAGACGGGGAUUAGUGGUGGGGCUCGGACAGGAUGGCUGUGCCCUGAGCCAGGACCCACUGGCUGGUGGAAAGACCCCUCAGGGAAGUGGCUCAGAGGCUGCUUUCAGGCCAGCUAGCGAUGUGCUCCUAGCAGAGCCCCCAGUCAGCGACCGUGGUGGGGUGGCAGGCUAGAGGGGCCAUGGCUCUGAUCACCUUUCCUUUCUGCCAGGCGAGAUACGAGUGCAGCUGAACUAAGGAUCUGUCCCUGUGCAGCAAGAGACAGGGCCGGCUCUAGGUUUUUUGCCGCCACAAGCAAAAAAUAUUUGGCUGCCCCCCCAGAGCCCUGAGCUCACUCCCGCCCACAAGUGCCCCCACACCUGCACUCCCUGCCACCCCAGCACUUGGCUCUCUCUUCCACUCACUCACCCACACCCCCUGCCACCCUAGCACUGGGCUCCCCCACAAAUGUGGGAUCCGCUACCAUCACACGGCAGCAGAGCCCUGGCCCAGCUGUGACUCUGUCUCCAUGCAGGUGGAGCUUCUGGACGGCAUGGAGCGGGAGUACUUCGAGGUGGCGGUGCGGCUGCAGGGUGGCGCAGUGAACAUGGCCCCCUCCCUGGGCUUCGCGGCGCUGCUAGUGGCCAAGGUGAAUCAGUUCGUGCUCACCGCCCUCACCCCCGACAUGCUGGUGGCCGAGGACCUGGAGAGCACCCCAGACCUGCUGCUCUUCAGCCUCAUGGUGCCCUGGCCCAGCCCUAGCCUUUUAAACCCCAGGUCUGUGGUCUGGAUUUAGCCACAGGCCCCGUUCACUGAAGCCUGGGCUGGAGAUUCAGCAGUGGCCUGGGCUUCUGCAGUAAUGCAGCCCUCACAGCAGGUCAGGGUGUUGCAAGAAGACAAGGACUAACACAUCCGUGGCCCCACAAAGUCCCGGGACCUCCUGGUCAACCUCCUCCUCGCCCUGGCUAAAAAGGCCAUCUACACG